rnacentral:tRNA from 1 species
GGCGCUCUAGCUCAGUCGGUAGAGCAACGGACUGAAAAUCCGUGUGUGCGCGGUUCGAUUCCGCGGGGCGCCA